UACAGAGGGUGCGAGCGUUAAUCGGAAUUACUGGGCGUAAAGCGUGCGUAGACGGUUAUUUAAGUCGGGUGUGAAAGCCCCGGGCUCAACCUGGGAAUUGCAUUCGAGACUGAAUAGCUAGGGUACGGUAGAGGGAAGCGGAAUUUCCGGUGUAGCGGUGAAAUGCGUAGAUAUCUGGAGGAACACCGGUGGCGAAGGCGGCAUCCUGGACCAACACUGACACUGAGGAGCGAAAGCCAGGGGAGCAAACGGGG
rnacentral:rRNA from 1 species